AUUGAACGCUGGCGGCAUGCCUAACACAUGCAAGUCGAGCGGUAGAAGGCCGCUUGCUCCUGGCUUCAGCGGCAGGCGGGUGUGUAAUGCCUAGGAAUCUGCCUGCUAGGGGGGUAUCUCGUCGGGAAACGGGCGCUAAUACCACAUACGUCCUGAGUGAGAACGGGGGGGAGCAUGGGACCUCGCGCUAUCAGCUGAGCCUAGGUCGGAUUAUAUAGUUGGUGGGGUAAAGGCCUACCAAGACGACGAUCCGUAGCUGGUCUGAGAGGAUGAUCAGUCACACUGGAACUGAGACACGGCCCAGACUCCUACGGGAGGCAGCAGUGGGGAAUAUUGGACAAUGGGCGCAAGCCUGAUCCAGCAAUGCCGCGUGUGUGAAGAAGGUCUUCGGAUUGUAAAGCACUUUUGGUUGGGACGAAACGCAGUUAGUUAAUACCCGGCUGUAUUGACGGUACCGAAAGAAUAAGCACCGGCUAACUACGUG
rnacentral:rRNA from 1 species